rnacentral:rRNA from 1 species
GCCUGUUUAUCAAAAACAUAGUUUAAGGAAAUAAUCUUAAAUGUAUUCUGCCCAAUGAUAUUUUUAAAUGGCCGCAGUACCUUGACUGUGCUAAGGUAGCAUAAUCAAUUGGCUUUUAAUUAAAGUCUAGAAUGAAAGGAAAAAUGAAGUAAUUCUGUCUUAAAGAAUUUUUUUUGAAUUUAUUUAAAUGAUGAAAAUAUCAUUUUUUAGAAAAAAGACGAGAAGACCCUUAGAGUUUUUAUAUUUUUUUUUGUUGGGGCGACAGGUAAACAAUUAAACUUUACUAUAUUAUUUAAUCGAUUUGAUAAUAAAAAUAAUUAAACUACCUUAGGGAUAACAGCAUUAUAUAUUUUUAUGAUUGUGACCUCGAUGUUGGACUAGGAACUUUAUGGUUAGCCAUCAUAAAAGAUUUGUUCUGUUCCAACAAUUUUAUCCUACGUGAUCUGAGU